rnacentral:misc_RNA from 1 species
GGCUGCUUGGAAAUUUGCAAAAGAGAAUGGGGUUGACUUGGUAACGCUCCAUCCAGGUUUAGUCAUUGGUCCACUUCUGCAGCCUACGCUCAAUUUCUCUUGUGAGGCUAUAGUGGACGUCAUAAAAGAAGGAAAAGAGGCAUGGUCUGGUGGAAUAUAUAGAUUUGUUGAUGUUAGGGAUGUUGCUAAUGCACAUAUUCUAGCCUUUGAGGUUCUUUCAGCAAAUGGAAGAUAUUGUUUAGUUGGGGC